GAGGCCUAACACAUGCAAGUCGAGCGCGCCCUUCGGGGUGAGCGGCGGACGGGUUAGUAACGCGUGGGAAUAUACCCUUUGGUACGGAAUAGCCUCUGGAAACGGAGAGUAAUACCGUAUGAGCCCUUCGGGGGAAAGAUUCAUCGCCAAAGGAUUAGCCCGCGUUAGAUUAGGUAGUUGGUGGGGUAAUGGCCUACCAAGCCUACGAUCUAUAGCUGGUUUUAGAGGAUGAUCAGCAACACUGGGACUGAGACACGGCCCAGACUCCUACGGGAGGCAGCAGUGGGGAAUCUUGGACAAUGGGCGCAAGCCUGAUGCAGCCAUGCCGCGUGUAUGAAGAAGGCCUUCGGGUUGUAAAGUACUUUCAGCGAGGAGGAAAGGGUGUCCGUUAAUACCGGGCAUCUGUGACGUUACUCGCAGAAGAAGCACCGGCUAACUCCGUGCCAGCAGCCGCGGUAAUACGGAGGGUGCGAGCGUUAAUCGGAAUUACUGGGCGUAAAGCGUGCGUAGGCGGCUUGUUAAGUUGGAUGUGAAAGCCCCGGGCUUAACCUGGGAACUGCAUCCAAAACUGGCAAGCUAGAGUGCGGAAGAGGAGUGUGGAAUUUCCUGUGUAGCGGUGAAAUGCGUAGA
rnacentral:rRNA from 1 species